GCCGGUGGAGCCUGUCCCAUUGUAGAAGCUCGUCUGGGAUCCAUCCACUAUAGGAGCUUGGCUGAAGUCUGCCUGUAAUAGAAGUUCAAAAGAAAUUUAUUUACAGUAGAGGCUCAAAAGGAAUUCGCUUACAGUAGAGAUCCGGAGUAGACUGCCUGCAGUAGGAGUUCGGAGUAGACUGCUUGCGAUAGAAGUUUGGAGUAGAGAUCCGACUGGUGGAGCUCUUUCGUUGUCAAAAUUCGUCUGGGAUCCAUCCACUGUAGGAGUUUGGCUGAAAUAUGAUUCUCGUAGGAGCUCGGAUGGAAUCCGAAAGGUGGUCAACCACCGUAAAAACUAGGAUGAAGUCUGGUUACUAUAGAAAUCUCAUUGUCGGAGAAGCUCGGAUAUUGAUGAAGUUCGAAAGAAGUUUGGAGUAGAGUCAUCUGUGGCUGGAAGAAGUCUGGAAGAGAUUCGAAGAAUAGUUGAUCACUGUAGAAAAUCGACGGAUAGUGAAGUUCAGAGGGCGUUUGGAGCAACCUGGUAGAUGAAUGGAAAAGCUCAUUAUCAGAGAAGUUCGGAUGGUAUUAUGGAAGCUCG
rnacentral:lncRNA from 1 species